rnacentral:rRNA from 2 species
UCAAUUAUAANAGGUGGCUUUUAGCUACCACUUACAGAUGGACCCGCGGCGCAUUAGCUAGUUGGUGAGGUAACGGCUCACCAAGGCNACGAUGCGUAGCCGACCUGAGAGGGUGAUCGGCCACACUGGGACUGAGACACGGCCCAGACUCCUACGGGAGGCAGCAGUAGGGAAUCUUCCGCAAUGGACGAAAGUCUGACGGAGCAACGCCGCGUGAGUGAUGAAGGUUUUCGGAUCGUAAAACUCUGUUGUUAGGGAAGAACAAGUACCGUUCGAAUAGGGCGGUACCUUGACGGUACCUAACCAGAAAGCCACGGCUAACUACGUGCCAGCAGCCGCGGUAAUACGUAGGUGGCAAGCGUUGUCCGGAAUUAUUGGGCGUAAAGCGCGCGCAGGCGGUUUCUUAAGUCUGAUGUGAAAGCCCCCGGCUCAACCGGGGAGGGUCAUUGGAAACUGGGGAACUUGAGUGCAGAAGAGGAGAGUGGAAUUCCACGUGUAGCGGUGAAAUGCGUAGAGAUGUGGAGGAACACCAGUGGCGAAGGCGACUCUCUGGUCUGUAACUGACGCUGAGGCGCGAAAGCGUGGGGAGCGAACAGGAUUAGAUACCCUGGUAGUCCACGCCGUAAACGAUGAGUGCUAAGUGUUAGAGGGUUUCCGCCCUUUAGUGCUGCAGCAAACGCAUUAAGCACUCCGCCUGGGGAGUACGGUCGCAAGACUGAAACUCAAAGGAAUUGACGGGGGCCCGCACAAGCGGUGGAGCANGUGGUUUANUUCGAAGCAACGCGAAGAACCUUACCAGGUCUUGACAUCCUCUGACAACCCUAGAGAUAGGGCUUCCCCUUCGGGGGCAGAGUGACAGGUGGUGCAUGGUUGUCGUCAGCUCGUGUCGUGAGAUGUUGGGUUAAGUCCCGCAACGAGCGCAACCCUUGAUCUUAGUUGCCAGCAUUCAGUUGGGCACUCUAAGGUGACUGCCGGUGACAAACCGGAGGAAGGUGGGGAUGACGUCAAAUCAUCAUGCCCNUUAUGACCUGGGCUACACACGUGCUACAAUGGNCAGAACAAAGGGCAGCGAAGCCGCGAGGCUAAGCCAAUCCCACAAAUCUGUUCUCAGUUCGGAUCGCAGUCUGCAACUCGACUGCGUGAAGCUGGAAUCGCUAGUAAUCNCNGAUCACAUGCCGCGGUGAAUACGUUCCCGGGCCUUGUACACACCGCCCGUCACACCNCGAGAGUUUGUAACACCC